rnacentral:rRNA from 1 species
UGGGGAAUAUUGGACAAUGGGCGCAAGCCUGAUCCAGCCAUACCGCGUGGGUGAAGAAGGCCUUCGGGUUGUAAAGCCCUUUUGUUGGGAAAGAAAAGCAGCCGGUUAAUACCCGGUUGUUCUGACGGUACCCAAAGAAUAAUCACCGGCUAACUUCGUGCCAGCAGCCGCGGUAAUACGAAGGGUGCAAGCGUUACUCGGAAUUACUGGGCGUAAAGCGUGCGUAGGUGGUUGUUUAAGUCUGUCGUGAAAGCCCUGGGCUCAACCUGGGAAUUGCGAUGGAAACUGGGCGACUAGAGUGUGGCAGAGGGUAGUGGAAUUCCUGGUGUAGCAGUGAAAUGCGUAGAGAUCAGGAGGAACAUCCGUGGCGAAGGCGACUGCCUGGGCCAACACUGACACUGAGGCACGAAAGCGUGGGGAGCAAACAGG